rnacentral:misc_RNA from 1 species
AAGUCGUAACAAGGUCUCCGUUGGUGAACCAGCGGAGGGAUCAUUGCUGGAACGCGCUUCGGCGCACCCAGAAACCCUUUGUGAACUUAUACCUAUUUGUUGCCUCGGCGUAGGCCGGCCUCUUCACUGAGGCCCCCUGGAGACAGGGAGCAGCCCGCCGGCGGCCAACUAAACUCUUGUUUCUAUAGUGAAUCUCUGAGUAAAAAACAUAAAUGAAUCAAAACUUUCAACAACGGAUCUCUUGGUUCUG